UGCUGGAGGUAUCAGAAGUGCGAAUGCUGACAUAAGUAACGAUAAAGCGGGUGAAAAGCCCGCUCGCCGGAAGACCAAGGGUUCCUGUCCAACGUUAAUCGGGGCAGGGUGAGUCGACCCCUAAGGCGAGGCCGAAAGGCGUAGUCGAUGGGAAACAGGUUAAUAUUCCUGUACUUGGUGUUACUGCGAAGGGGGGACGGAGAAGGCUAUGUUAGCCGGGCGACGGUUGUCCCGGUUUAAGCAUGUAGGCUGGUUAUCCAGGCAAAUCCGGAUAAUCAAGGCUGAGGUGUGAUGACGAGGCACUACGGUGCUGAAGUAACAAAUGCCCUGCUUCCAGGAAAAGCCUCUAAGCAUCAGGUAACAUCAAAUCGUACCCCAAACCGACACAGGUGGUCAGGUAGAGAAUACCAAGGCGCUUGAGAGAACUCGGGUGAAGGAACUAGGCAAAAUGGUGCCGUAACUUCGGGAGAAGGCACGCUGGUGUGUAGGUGAAGUCCCUGCGGAUGGAGCUGAGACCAGUCGAAGAUACCAGCUGGCUGCAACUGUUUAUUAAAAACAC
rnacentral:rRNA from 1 species